rnacentral:lncRNA from 1 species
AUCUUGAAAACGGAAAAUAAAAACAGCAGACCUAUGAAGGUCGAAGGGGAAGAAAAGCUGUAUCGAUUGUUGAGAUCUGGCGACUUGUUUAAAUUUCAUCAGCCUCACUUCUAUGAACUCUCAGGCCUCACGUGUACCAGCUCUCUGCUCUCCUUUGCCUUGGGACGUUCCAUCCCUGGAAGUUUCCCUGCCCACAUCUUUGUAGAGAGUCCAUUCUCCAAGCUUCAGUGUGUCAUCUGUGAGGACCGUGACCCACCUGGUACAUCGCCUCAGGGCAUUCAUUUCAGGCUCCUUCUAAAUGGCCAAGGAUCUUGGAAGCAGAGGGAUCUGCAGAAGUGCUUGCAACACUUUCAGCCUUAACCAGCAUCAGAGACAAAAAUCCUUUCUGGAAUGAGUCUUCUGCCAGCCUAACAAGCAUAGCAAGAAGAUAUAGCCCCACAACCACUUUAUGCACAAAGUUAGAAGCAUAAAAUCUCAUGGAAGGAGACCGAUUAUCUACAGAAGAGGUUGUCUUGCCAUUUCUCUCAUGUUAGAGGUAAACCUCAGGUUCUCCUCCUGCCUUUUGCUAAGUAUAUGUCUUGAUGACAAGCCUUCUGCUGAUGAGCUGUGUUUCUGGACCGAUCAUGGUAGAAGUCAAUUAACGUGUCCCUCACUUGGGGUUUCUCAAGGCUGCACUGAUGAGGAAACUGAAACAGAAAAUCCAGAGUAAAUUCCACCAGGCCACACAGCAAGGUCUGAUAGAGCCAGGAGAGACUUUAUGAAAUCCAGACUCUCACACUAAUGCUCUAUCAGCUAGACCUCCAUGUGAGUCUCCCCAAUGUAGGUAGGAAGUGCUUUCCC